CCCUUAGAUGUCCUGGGCCGCACGCGCGUUACACUGAUGCAUUCAACGAGCUUAUAACCUUGGCCGAGAGGCCUGGGCAAUCUUGUUAACGUGCAUCGUGAUUGGGAUAGAUGAUUGCAAUUCUUCAUCUUCAACGAGGAAUGCCUAGUAAACGCAAGUCAUCAGCUUGCAUUGAUUACGUCCCUGCCCUUUGUACACACCGCCCGUCGCUCCUACCGAUUGAAUGAUCCGAUGAAUACCAUGGAUUGAGAGUACGAAUGGGUUCGCUCAUUUCUGCUGCUCGAGAAGUGGAGUAAAUCUUAUCAUUUAGAGGAAGGAGAAGUCGUAACA
rnacentral:rRNA from 1 species